rnacentral:rRNA from 1 species
UGGUGGAGUGAUUUGUCUGGUUUAUUCCGUUAACGAACGAGACCUCGACCUGCUAAAUAGUACCGCUUGCCGUUCGCGGCAGGCUGGAGACUUCUUAGAGGGACUAUCGGUGGUUAGCCGGUGGAAGUUCGAGGCAAUAACA